AAUGCUGCUCAACCUCCCCAAAGCUUUCUAAUGUGUGUGGGAGGACUGACCAAGUAGUGUGGAUUUGUUUUGUGCUGAUUACUGAAAAGGACUGAAAAAGAAUUUGUAAAAAGAAAUUCAGGAAAUCUGCCAUUUGUAGUUUUCUGCAUGAUUGCAAGUUUCUUUGCUGGCAAUGAAGAUUAUGUUGGAGUGGAGAUGAGGGGAGUGAAGACCACAAGAGUGAACAUGCAGCAUCUAUCCCCUGAGGGACCGUGAGGAAAUGAACUCGUGAACUUCAUAACGUUCUACACAAUGGAAAGUAAAUAACUCAAGGGAUAUAUCACAGGGACACUCCAAAUAGCCCUGGCCGAUGUACAUGAACACUUGCAUGAGGACCGUGAUUCUGCUGGGCCUUCUGAACAUCUCUGUGGCUUUUGGCAUGCCUAUGGGAUCAUGGUAGUGCCUGUGAUGAAUGGAAAUGCAAGGUCUUAUAUGAACCACUUAUCAACUGGACCACCAACAAGACACAUGUAACUAUACUAGUAAUUCUGGAAAACCAGCUAGAUUCACAGAUUUCCAGGCUGCGAUCCAAUUUAAAUUGGACCAUUAAAAAAUGACA